GUGCUUGCUUCGGCAGCACAUAUACUAAAAUUGGAACGAUACAGAGAAGAUUAGCAUGGCCCCUGUGCAAGGAUGACACACAAAUUCAUGAAGCGUUCCAUAUUAAA
ensembl:snRNA U6 U6 spliceosomal RNA